AUGAAUGACAAAAUUCUCCCGAUCAUGUGCUGGAACAUACGCGGACUGAACCACCCCGCGAAGCGCACCUCUGUCCCUGAAGUAGCGGCAGCAAAUCGAGUAGCGAUCCUGUGUCUACAAGAAACCAAAAUUGAAACAUGGUCUCCUAGUCUAGUGCGAGAAAUUGGCGGCUCCACGCUGACCGGCUCCAUCGCCCUACCGGCGAUUGGCACUAGUGGCGGAGCAGCAAUCCUUUGGAACAAGGAUCUCGCCACCAUCACCUCCCAUGCCAUCGGCGCCUUUGCCAUCACGACUAGGGUUUCCCUGCUUGGCCAACCCCAUAGUUUCUGGCUCUCCUCCGUCUACGGACCCGCUGACGACGCAAGGAAGGAUAGCUUCAUCCUCGAGCUCGCCCACACUGCUCCACCCACAAAUGAGCCCUGGCUCAUCAACGGAGACUUUAACCUCAUCUAUGAGGCGCGCGACAAAAACAACCUAAACCUCAACCGUAGGCUUAUGGGUAGGUUCAGAUCGGCCAUUGAUGCUGCUGGCCUGAUGGAGAUCAAGUGCAAGAACCCACCCUUGUCAGCAUUGAUAAGUUCUUCUGCAACCAAUCCUGGGCGGCCAUUUUCCCCAGCUUCGCGUGAUGGAAGCUUCUACAGCCACGUCAGAUCACUGCCCGUUGAUCCUUGCUGA
rnacentral:rRNA from 1 species